CUCCUACGGGGAGGCAGCAGUAGGGAAUAUUGGUCAAUGGGUGAGAGCCUGAACCAGCCAUGCCGCGUGCAGGAAGAAGGCCUUCUGGGUUGUAAACUGCUUUUGCCGGGGGAUAAAAUUCCCAUGCGUGGGACAUUGAAGGUACCCGGUGAAUAAGCCACGGCUAACUACGUGCCAGCAGCCGCGGUAAUACGUAGGUGGCAAGCGUUGUCCGGAUUUAUUGGGUUUAAAGGGUGCGUAGGCGGCCUAUUAAGUCAGUUCUGAAAUAUCCCGGCUUAACCGGGAGGGUGGGAUUGAUACUGAUGGGCUUGAGUGGAAUCGAGGUAGGCGGAAUUGACGGUGUAGCGGUGAAAUGCUUAGAUAUCGUCAAGAACACCGAUAGUGUAGACAGCUUACUAGACUUCAACUGACGCUGAGGCACGAAAGUGUGGGGAUCAAACAGGAUUAGAUACCCUGGUAGUCCACACUGUAAACGUUGAUUACUCGCUGUGUGCGAUAUACAGUACGCGGCUUAGCGAAAGCGAUAAGUAAUCCACCUGGGGAGUACGCCGGCAACGGUGAAACUCAAAGAAAUUGACGGA
rnacentral:rRNA from 1 species